AGGUUGAUAGGUACUUAAUGUUGCUCAGUAUGAGUCAAGGAUCUAUCUUGAAUUGAUCCUCUCCAAGUCAAGUGUUUGUUGCCAUUUUGCAAAGCGUUUGAAGGUAUAUGUGGAUUUUGGCACCUCAUAUAGUUCAACAUUUUUAUCUGGAUCAAUAAGUAUCUUCAGUCAUCUCUUAUAAAUGGUACUCAACAACAGAAAAGAUUGUAUAGG